AAAAUGGUUACAUUCAAAUUUGACCUAGAUGGUGACAACCCCGAGGAGAUAGCAACAAUUAUGGUGAACAAUGACUUUAUUCUAGCAAUAGAGAGAGAGUCGUUUGUGGAUCAAGUGCGAGAAAUUAUUGAAAAAGCUGAUGAAAUGCUCAGUGAGGAUGUCAGUGUGGAACCAGAGGGUGAUCAGGGAUUGGAGAGUCUACAAGGAAAGGAUGACUAUGGCUUUUCAGGUUCUCAGAAAUUGGAAGGAGAGUUCAAACAACCAAUUCCUGCGUCUUCCAUGCCACAGCAAAUAGGCAUUCCUACCAGUUCUUUAACUCAAGUUGUUCAUUCUGCGGGAAGGCGGUUUAUAGUGAGUCCUGUGCCAGAAAGCCGAUUACGAGAAUCAAAAGUUUUCCCCAGUGAAAUAACAGAUACAGUUGCUGCCUCUACAGCUCAGAGCCCUGGAAUGAACUUGUCUCACUCUGCAUCAUCCCUUAGUCUACAACAGGCCUUUUCUGAACUUAGACGUGCCCAAAUGACAGAAGGACCCAACACAGCACCUCCAAACUUUAGUCAUACAGGACCAACAUUUCCAGUAGUACCUCCUUUCUUAAGUAGCAUUGCUGGAGUCCCAACCACAGCAGCAGCCACAGCACCAGUCCCUGCAACAAGCAGCCCUCCUAAUGACAUUUCCACAUCAGUAAUUCAGUCUGAGGUUACAGUGCCCACUGAAGAGGGGAUUGCUGGAGUUGCCACCAGCACAGGUGUGGUAACUUCAGGUGGUCUCCCCAUACCACCUGUGUCUGAAUCACCAGUACUUUCCAGCGUAGUUUCAAGUAUCACAAUACCUGCAGUUGUCUCAAUAUCUACUACAUCCCCG
rnacentral:lncRNA from 1 species